UCUUAUUGUGGAUAUUUCCUUAAUGGUAACAGGUUAAAUAGAAAAUAAGCAGGUGAGAUGGCUCAUGCUUGUAAUCUGAGCACUUUGGGAGGCUGAAGUGGGCCGCACUAAGUUCAGCAUCAAUAUGGUGACCUCCCGUGAGUGGGGACCACCAGGUUACCUAAGGAGGUAUGAACCAAGCCAGGUAAAAAUGGAGCAGGUCAAAACUCCCAUGCUCAUCAGUAGUGGGAUCACGCCUGUGAAUAGCCACUGCACCCCGGCCUGGGCUACAGAGCAAAAUCCUGUCUCA
rnacentral:SRP_RNA from 1 species